rnacentral:rRNA from 1 species
GAUGAACGCUGGCGGCGUGCCUAAUACAUGCAAGUCGAGCGAACAGACGAGGAGCUUGCUCCUCUGACGUUAGCGGCGGACGGGUGAGUAACACGUGGAUAACCUGCCUAUAAGACUGGGAUAACUUCGGGAAACCGGAGCUAAUACCGGAUAAUAUAUUUAACCGCAUGGUUCAAUAGUGAAAGACGGUUUUGCUGUAACUUAUAGAUGGAUCCGCGCCGCAUUAGCUAGUUGGUAAGGUAACGGCUUACCAAGGCGACGAUGCGUAGCCGACCUGAGAGGGUGAUCGGCCACACUGGAACUGAGACACGGUCCAGACUCCUACGGGAGGCAGCAUUAGGGAAUCUUCCGCAAUGGGCGAAAGCCUGACGGAGCAACGCCGCGUGAGUGAUGAAGGUCUUCGGAUCGUAAAACUCUGUUAUUAGGGAAGACCAAAUGUGUAAGUAACUAUGCACGUCUUGACGGUACCUAAUCAGAAAGCCACGGCUAACUACGUG